rnacentral:tRNA from 1 species
GCCAUCUUAGCUCAGUUGGUAGAGCAGCUGAUUUGUAAUCAGCCGGUCGUAGGUUCGAGUCCUAUAGAUGGCU